CUCCAUGCCAGUCUACCCUGCCCUACGUUGGCUCAGUGACCAGGUCUCCAUGCCAGACACACAUCAACGUCACGCAUCUUGAAGAAAAGAGAAAUGAUCGGAUGGUCUGCAGGUCAAACACAUCAGGAUCAGGAUUUAAGGUUGGCGUGAUCGGCUUCGACCUGACGCUAUCGGCACAAAUCUUAAUGCAGCAGGAUCUGAGUUACAGCAUGGAAGAGAGAGAGAGAGAGAGAGAGAGAGAGAGAGAGAGAUAUGGGGGGACAGGGGGGUGGAUAGAGAAAAAAGCAGAGAAAGAUGCAGGGAGAGAUGGGAGAAGAGAGAAGAGAGGACGGGGAACAGAAAGAAAGAAAUGGGGAAAGGCGGGGUGACAGAGACAAAUAGCUCGGGGGCUCAUGUCCCCUCACCUCUUCAUUUGCUACCUCCCCUCUCCUCACCUCCUCUCCUCCCCUCUGUUCUACUCCCCUGUCCUCUGCCUUUCUUUCCUUUUUCCUUCCUUUCUUUCUUUCCAAUGUUCAGACGAGAAUUGUCCUCCAGUUACAGUUACAUAUAAGUCAAUGUUUACCUUGUAAAUGUAAAUAAUGUAAAAGGUGAAAAAAACUAAAUAGUUGCUUCAGAUUUCUGAGCAUUUUCAAAUUUGGGGAAAAAUAAUUUAAACAGGAUGUAAAUGACAUACAUUUUAAAGAGCCAUAGCACGAGGUUAUGAUGAUUGAUUAGAACUAGAAUUGACAUCACUCAUCACUGUGACAAAUAAGACACAGUGACAAUCGAAAUCUGGAUAAAUGAAACUGAACUCAUUAACAACUCCCAGGUCAACUAUAAGGACAGUCAGAGGUUAGAUGACUGUGAAAAAAACCCUGGAACAUCAGAGGGUCUGUGUUUGAAGAAGAACGGGAGAGGCAUUGAACCCAAAGAACACUGGACUCAUAGUGAAAGACAUCGGUUGGAUAUGAUGUCGUGAGGAUGACCAGUGGAUCUUCAUCAGUGUUUACAAACACUGAGCUCAAAAUGCAACGCUUCUAUAGAAAGGGAAUUGAGUGAGGAAAAAAAACAUUUCCCCUGAAUCUGGACACACACACACACACACACACACACACACACACACAGACAUCAGGCCCUGGUUCUAAAAAUAGCUGAGCUGGAAGCAGCACCUCUGUCACUGAUGCAGCUCUGCGCACAGAUCUAUAAUGGUAUUGAUCAAGAGAUCAGAUUGCAGAGGAGAUGAAUUGAGGGUGAGGGGGGGGGGGAUGCUAUAAUAAUAACAACAAUACAAAGCCAUGUUUUUCGAUAAAUGUAAAAAAAAAGGACAAACCCAUUUUUAAAGCAUUGGACAUACAGUACGGUGUACACGCCAUAUACCUCCAAAUCAGUCAUUUUCUCAACAUGGCCGCCGCCUUGAGUCACCCAAACUACACUGUGGGCGGUGAGUCAGAUCAUUACCACUGACACCUGCGGUACUGAGGAGGAAGCAGCGAAAGACAGGUGGAAAUAAAGGAAAGAAACACAGAGCCAUAAAUAAAGAAGAAAACAGUCGACUGGACCAUGAGCUGACGACAACUCUCACAACGUGGUGCCAGAGGAAAAAAGAAGAAAAACUCAAAGAUGAGGCUGUUAAUCUUCAUCUUAACUGGUGCCUGGGGCGCACACACACACAGACACACACACACACACACACACACACACACACACACACACACACACACACACACACACACACGCGCCCAGUGAAAUAAACAAGCUUACAGCAGUGCAGAUAAUCCCGUCUAAAUCACCUCAACUACUGCUGCUGACAGACACCGCCUCCACUGACUGUGUGUCUGUGUGUGCAGCACGUGUGUGAGCGUGGUGUGUAAUCCCAGUCACUAAUACUGUUGUCAAACUCACAUCACCAGAGGGCAGAAGUGUGAAGUGUGAUAUCAUCUUGUGAUGUUCAGGAUAGAAACCUUUUUUU